rnacentral:rRNA from 1 species
CCCUUAGAUGUCCGGGGCCGCACGCGCGCUACACUGAAGGAAUCAGCGUGGCUUUCUCCCUGACCCGAAAGGGUUGGGAAACCCGUUGAAUCUCCUUCGUGAUAGGGAUUGGGGCUUGAAAUUGUUCCCCAUGAACGAGGCAUUCCCAGUAAGCGCGAGUCAUAAGCUCGCGUUGAUUACGUCCCUGCCCUUUGUACACACCGCCCGUCGCUACUACCGAUUGAACGGUUUAGUGAGGGCCUCGGAUUGGUCUCGGCCCGCUCUUUACCGGGCGGCGCCGUUGGUCGAGAAGACGCUCGAACUUGAUCGUUUAGAGGAAGUAAAAGUCGUAACA